rnacentral:rRNA from 1 species
AACGAACGCUGGCGGCAGGCUUAACACAUGCAAGUCGAACGCCCCGCAAGGGGAGUGGCAGACGGGUGAGUAACGCGUGGGAACAUACCCUUUCCUGCGGAAUAGCUCCGGGAAACUGGAAUUAAUACCGCAUACGCCCUACGGGGGAAGGAUUUAUCGGGGAAGGAUUGGCCCGCGUUGGAUUAGCUAGUUGGUGGGGUAAAGGCCUACCAAGGCGACGAUCCAUAGCUGGUCUGAGAGGAUGAUCAGCCACAUUGGGACUGAGACACGGCCCAAACUCCUACGGGAGGCAGCAGUGGGGAAUAUUGGACAAUGGGCGCAAGCCUGAUCCAGCCAUGCCGCGUGAGUGAUGAAGGCCUUAGGGUUGUAAAGCUCUUUCACCGAUGAAGAUAAUGACGGUAGUCGGAGAAGAAGCCCCGGCUAACUUCGUG